rnacentral:rRNA from 1 species
UACGUAGGGGGCAAGCGUUGUCCGGAUUUAUUGGGCGUAAAGGAGCGUGUAGGCGGCCAUACAGGUCAGUCUGUGAAAACUCGAGGCUCAACCUCGAGACGUCGGUUGAAACCGUAUGGCUAGAGUCCGGAAAGAGGAGAGUGGAAUUCCCGGUGUAAGCGGUGAAAUGCGCAGGAUAUCGGGAAGAACACCCGUGGCGAAGGCGGCUACUCUGGGACGG